rnacentral:lncRNA from 1 species
AGGAUCCUCAACAUCUGAGUGCUGACAGUAAUGACAGGGAUAGAAGUACCAGAAGUGGGGAUGAACGGCCAAAGAGGGAAAAGGUCAGUUUACUCAAAGUGUUACAAAUAGGCAGAUUGAAGAAAAGCCGCUCCAAGGACAGAGGAGACAGCGAGACGCACAGCAGCUGGGAAAGUUUAAAUGAAAGAGGAGUCCGUAGUCUGUCCCGAAGUGAGGCUGAACGGGGAACAAACCUGAGCGAGGACGAGGGAGGGCAAACCCAGAACCAAGGCGGAGCAAAAGAGGAACCAAAGCUUCAGACAGAGGCUGAAGCUGCUGCCAUAACAACCGAAAAAGUCUCUGGGAAACUGCAGCUACCCCAUCCGUUUGCAUCCAUUUUUUCCAAAGAGAAGGACAAAGGAAACAGGGAUAGGUGCAGGAGUGACGGUGAUGGCAAAGGAGAAGGUAACACCGAGCCGGAAGGCCACGACAACCCAGUGGUUACGACACAGAGCAGCUGGAGAAGUAGUAAAACUCGCAAAGCAAGGCGAAUAACCAGAGGCAGGAAGAUGAAAGCGAGAGGCAGGGACAAGACAGAGACUAGUGAAGAGGAUUCAGAUCAUCAAGACUGUGUAAGGAGGGAACCCAAGGAAAAUCUACAAACAAAAUGCCGGGCGUGCUACCAUCGAAGCUGCUUCCAGGCUGGAAAAGAUUGUCCUCGAUGUCGGCGGCUGGCAGAGCGCAGACAGAGAAUGGCACGGAAGAACAUGGAGGAACAGGAAGAUGAGGGAGGCGGGACUUGAUGCUGGUUAUUUGGUAAUCAAGAAGAGCACGACUGAUUGCGAUGGUACUCCAAAAUCAUCUGUGACGUCGGUGAUGGUGCACAGUGAUAAUAAUUAAGCUCUUAGUGAUCCGACUGUUCAGAUAUACGUAAAGGGUAACAUAAAUUCCGUUUUUUUCCAUUAUUUACUGUAAGACUCCUUAAAAAAUGCACCUUAUUUUGUGAGUUUGGACGUGGAUUUAGACAGCAAAAAAAAAUCCGUUUUUUUUAAUGAAACGUUCGUUCACCAACACAUUACUACUGAGUCUCUCCUUCAAAAAGUAAAAAAAAAAAACUAAUGCAUUUCAGCAAGUGUGUGUCCUCAAAGGAAGCACACAGACCUUCAUUUUUAUUGAUGUAAAUAUGCCGUUGUAAGGUGAAAAUGAAGUUUUUGAAUGUUGAUACCUGCUGCCUCUGAUGUGCUCAGGCUGCUAGAUUCAGCUCUGAUGCUUCUUCCCUCAAACUGCUGGCAGCUGCUUGGACCGCUUAGCUCAGCGAUUAACAGAUGAUGCACCUGCAGUUGCUUUUUGUCAGUUUGAUGGCUGAAUUUAUUUUUUGUUUUACAUUUGAUUAUUCUGUAACACCCAUUGCUUUUCUUUUUUUUUUAAAUCUUUUUUGUUUUUGUUUUAUUCUUUUGUGCCUUGGAGACUAAAUGAGCCGGCGGAGGCUGUGGCGUCUCAGGAAGGAUGAUGCAGAGAUCUGUAAAAUCUGUAGACUCUCAAACAUUCGUUCUGCUCUGGUGGUGGGAUUACUAAACUGAACCAUCGAGUCGACCUGCUGUUGAUGCACAAACGCUUUCAAACCAGCCUAAUUAGCACUUAACUGUUUUGUAACUUGCAAGCUUGUGGACUAACAGGGUGUCCGGUUAAUUGCACUGAUCACGCGUGUGUUUUUGUUUUCGUUGAAGUGAUCAUUUUUCAAAUGUUCGUUUUAAGAACAUUAAAAAAAAUCCUUUUUCAUGAUGAUGCUCUUGUGUAAACCACACUUAUGAGCGCCUAACUUCUAAUUUAAUUUUAGACUUUGAUGGCUUUAAUCUUUAUACAUUUCUUUUCUUCCACUCAUUGGUGUAGUCUCUGCCUUUUUUGGUGGAUGUAUUAAAAUCAUUCUUUUUGAUAUUUCCCCCUGUUUUUGAGACAUAUUUGGGGGGUUAAGUGCCUCGGUGUUGUAGCAAGUGCACAAGAAAAGAAAAUCACAGAAAUGGUGAAAAAAAGUUUGUUUUCUUCCACACUUGGCUAACAAAGCUCUCAGGUUUAUUUGAUCAGAAUAGUUUUCCAGCAGUUGUUGUUCAUCUGUUAGUAAUGUAUUUUGCACUUUCUUGAGGCUGAUUUUAGAGCU